rnacentral:snRNA from 1 species
GGGCUCACUUCCGCAGCACAUACACUAAAACUGGAACAUACAGAGAUUAGGAUGGCCCCUGUGCAAGGAUGACAUGCAAAUUCCUGAAGUGUUCCAUUUAAAA